UUGUAGUCUACAGUUUGAUGAAGAAUCCCAGUGUCCUGGGCAGUUGGUGAUCAUUGCUGGUGUUACCGUCUGGAGAAGAGGUACCCAUGGUCAGCCCUUUCUGCAGAUACUGAUGCUUGGUGAACAGCUGGUCACAGGAUUUGGAAGACACAGUGUCCAUCCUCUCAGAUUGGGUCUCUUUUCAUAAGGAUCUUCGAUGUCUUUGUCUUCUUUAAAAAGAACUUUUUGGGGAACAUUUUGGAUUACAACUGUUUGUUCUCAUCUAUGCAAAGAAAGGAAGGCUGUCCUGGGAUUUUAAGGAGCUUUUCCUAAAGGAUUGCUGUACACCCUAGAGGGCUUGAGGAACAGCAGCAAAGG